rnacentral:rRNA from 1 species
CAGUAGCCGCGGUAAUACGUAGGGUGCGAGCGUUAAUCGGAAUUACUGGGCGUAUAGCGUGCGCAGGCGGUUUUGUAAGACAGGCGUGAAAUCCCCGGGCUCAACCUGGGAAUGGCGCUUGUGACUGCAAAGCUAGAGUGCGGCAGAGGGGGAUGGAAUUCCGCGUGUAGCAGUGAAAUGCGUAGAUAUGCGGAGGAACACCGAUGGCGAAGGCAAUCCCCUGGGCCUGCACUGACGCUCAUGCACGAAAGCGUGGGGAGCAAACAGGAUUAGAGACCCGUGUAGUCCCUGUCUCUUAUAA